rnacentral:SRP_RNA from 1 species
CGGUCUUGCGCAAUGAGAAUCUGCGAACCGUGUCAGGUUGGGAACAAAGCAGCACUAAGCAGAACCUCUCAUGUGCCGUGAGG